UCAAGCCCGCUCCUGUGCCUCCUAAACUUUUCCACUAUGCUUCUAGCAUCGAACUAUCCGCAGCCCAGUCGAACAUCAGUCGAACUGUGCUCAACCAUUUGACAAAGGGCUAAACAACAUCUAGCUGCGACAGCUCUCCAGUAUCAGUUCUGGCUCUCCGAAUAUCAACCCCCUUCCACUCCGGUUUAAACCCCAAACCCCAUCCCGUACACCACAAGCAAACGUUCCCACUAGGGUAUUAGACCCCUUCCAGUUCAUCGCAAACCAUCCUGUCUACUCAGCUCUCAAAUUGCCAGGGGCAGGGUCCCGUCACCGUUCGCUCUCACUCUCACUAUCAGAAGAAAGGACACUGAAUGACCGUGGUGUUUAGAAGGGAGAAUGUCUCCGACUGAUUUAUUUGAAGAAAUGGUGUAAGACUCGCAGAAAGUUAGGAAGCAACUGUGGGCGGCGACUCUCCAACCGGUUGAACACGAUUUCAGCAGAAAGGCCGCACCCUGUUCUGAGAAAUGCGUACGUGGGGGAACCUGGGCAACAUUCAGGGCCGCAGCUUGCACAGAGACAAGGAGCUCUGAGUUUCACAGAAACGCAACCGGCGACGUCCUGCACUUAGGAAGAUCUUCUGAUUCGGAAACCCAGAGCAACACACACAAAACUCUGAAGAAACACAGAACAGCACAAAACAGUAAACAGUCGACAUUUCGGGCCGAGACCUUUCAUCAGGAAUUAACUUAUUCCUAACCCACAACUCCUAAAGCAGCCAAAUAUUGCUCAGCUCAUUGUUUGAAAUGAAGGGCGAAGGCCAUUUCUUGGAAAUAUUCCCAAAAGGAAAUCGAAUAUUGUUACCAUAUUUUUCUGGAUUUUCAUUUCCAACCAGACUAUUGUCUGCAGUUUGUAUCAGUGAUCAAGAAUUCAUUAGAUCAGUUAUGAACUUCUUCUCGCCAUGCUGGUGUUUGAAUCACUGAGGUUGUGUUUACAUGUUGGGAUUUUUCCACACCUUACAUCAAGAUUAAGAACUGUUCCCGAACAGCAAAUAACGUUUCAUGGGGGGCUGUACAGCCCUAUUCUGCACGAUUUUCAAAAUACGAAUGCUCAGAUGAAUACUUCAAUAUAUAUCUGUUUCUUUUAUUCUGUUCGGGUAGAUUGCAAUUGUUUGGAUCCGAUCUCGGUGGCCGGUGGAAGUAAAGAUUUUAUUGCUGAUAUUGAAGGUCUAGAUGCUUGAUAAACACCGGGGUGGAGAGCUAUAAGACCCAACGAUGGAGUAGCAGAAUGAGGCUGUUUGGUCCAUUGAGUCUGUUCUGGCAGUUCAUCAUGGCUGAUUCAAUAUUUUAUUUGAGGCCCAAACUCCUCCCUGAUGCGCGCAUCCCGUCGGUAAAUUAGGAUUAGUACGUACUGGUACUCAGAUAGGUGGCGUUGUGGAUAAUGAAGUAGGUUUUCAAAGCUUGCAGAGAGAUUUAGGCCUGUUAGACGAAUGGGCUGAAAGAUGGCAGAUGGAGUUUAAUGCUGAUAAGUGUGAGUUGCUACAUUUUGGUAUGAAUAAUCCAAAUAGGACAUAUAUGAUAAAUGAUAGAGCUUUGCGGAAUACUUUAGAACUGAGUGAUCUAGGAAUAAUAGGGCAUAGUUCCUUGAAGGUAGAAUCUCAUGUGGAUAGGCUGGUGACGAAAACUUUUGGUAUGCUGUCCUUAUAAAUCGCAGCAUUGAGUAUAGGAAAUGGGAUGUAAUGUUACAAUUCUACAAGGCAUUUGUGUAAGUUGGAAUUUAGGCCUUUUUUCUUUGGAGUGUAGAAGGUUGAGGGGGUAUUGAUAAAGGUAUUUAAAAUUAUGGGGGUAUAGAUAGAGUUGACGUGGAUAGGGUUUUUUUCACUGAGAAUCGGGGAGAUUCAAAGAAGACGACAUCAGUUGAGAAUUAAGGAACAAAAGUUUAGGAGUAACUCGAGAGGCAAAUUCUUUACUCAUUGAGUGGUAACUGUGUGUAACGAGCUUCCAGUAGAAGAUUUAGAGGCAGGUUCUAUAUUGUCACUUGAAGUAAAGUUGGAUAGGUAUAUGGACAGGAAAGGAAUGGAAGGUUAUUGGCUGAAUGCAGGUCGGUGGAAGUAGGUGAGAGUAAGCUUUCGGCACGGACUGGAAGGUCCGAGAUGUCCUGCUUCCGUGCUGUCAUUGCUAUAUGGAUAUCUGGUUAAAGAAGUAUUCAUUGAGGACCUCGCUCACUUCCACAGCCUCCAAGCACAUCUUCCCACCUUUAUCUCUAAUCGGUCCUUACUCCACUCCUGUCAACCUUUGGUUUUUCACAUAAUUGAGAAUGCAUUCCUGCCUUGGUGCCAGCCAAGUCUCUGUAAUGGCCAAUACAUGAUAAUUCCAUGUACGUAUCCAAGUUCUCAGUUCAUCACCUUUGUUCCUGAUGCUUCUUGCAUUGAAGUACACACACUUUAGCCCUUCUACAUUACUACCUUUAUAUCCUUUAUUCUGCUUCUCUUUGCUUAAAGCCUCUCUAUGUGUUAGAUCUGACUUUACUCCAUGCACCAUACUUGCAGUACUCGCAUGAACUUAAUCCUCCUCCACCUCACUAUCUGCUCUAACGCUCUUGCUCCCCUCCCCCUGCAAAUCCAGUUUAAACCCCCUCCUGUGCCUCCUUAUCAGUUCUACUAUGCUUCUAGCAUCGAACAAUCCGCAACCCAGUCGAACAUUAUUCGAACUGUGCUCAACCAUUUGCCAAAGAUCUAAACAACAUCUAGCUGCGACAACUCUCCAGUAUCAGUUCUGGCUCUCCGAAUAUCAACCCCCUUCCACUCCAGUUUAAACCCCCAACACCAUCCCAUACGCCACAAGCAAACUUUCCAACUAGGGUAUUAGACGCCUUCCAGUUCAUCACAAACCAUCUUGUCUGCACAGGUCUCAAAUUGCCAGGGGCAGGAUCCCCUCACCGGUCGCUCUCACUCUCUCUAUAAGAAGAAAGGACUCCGAAUGACCAUGGUGUUUAGAAGGGAGAAUGUCUCCGACCGAUUUAUUUGAAGAAAUGGCGUAGGACUCGCAGAAAUUUGGGAAGCAACUGUGGGCGCCGACUGUCCAACCGGUUGAACCUGAUGUCAGCAGGAAGACCGCACCCUGUUCAGAGAAAUGCGUACGUGGGGGAAGCUGGCCAACAUACAGGGCCGCAGCUUGCACAGAGACAAGGAGCUCUGAGUUUCACAGAAACGCACCCGGCGACGACCUGCACUUAGGGAGAUCUUCUGAUUCGGAAACCCAGAGCAACAAACACAAAACUCUGAAGAAACACAGAACAGCCCAACCAGUAAACAGUCGACAUUUCGGGCCGAGGCCUUUCUUCAGGAAUUAACCUUAUCCCUAACCCACAACUCCUAAACCAGCCAAAUAUUGUUCAGCUCAUUGUUUGAAAUGAAGGGCGAAGGCCAUUACUUGGACAUAUUCCCACAAGGAUAUCGAACAUUGUUAAUAUUUUUCCGGCUUUUCAUUUCCAACCAGACUAUAGCCUGCGGGUUGUAUCAGUGAUCAAGAAUUCUUUAGCUUUUUGAUAAACUUCUUCUCGCCAUGCUGGUGUUUGUAUCCCUGAGGUUGUGUUCACAUGCUGGGAUUUUUCCACACCUUAUAUCAAGUUUAAGAACUGUUCCAGAAUCAGCAAUAAACGUUUCAUGCGACGGCUGUACAGCCCGAUCCUGCACGAUUUUCAAAAUACGUUACUUCAGGUGGGCGGCGACUCUCCAACCAGUUGAACCUGAUUUCAGCUGAAAGGCCGCACCCUGUUCUGAGAAAUGCGUACGUGGGGGAACUUGGCCAAAAUUCAGGGCCGCAGCUUGCACAGAGACAAGGAGCUCUGAGUUUCACAGAAACGCAACCGGCGAUGUCCGGCACUCAGGAAGAUCUUCUGAUUCGGAAACCCAGAGCAACACUCACAAAACUCUGAAGAAACACAGAACAGCACAAAACAGUAAACAGUCGACAUUUUGGGCCGAGACCUUUCAUCAGGAAUUAACCUCAUACCUAACCCACAACUGCUAAAACAGCCAAAUAUUGCUCAGCUCAUUGUUUGAAAUGAAGGGCGAAGGCCAUUUCUUGGAAAUAUUCCCACAAGGAAAUCGAAUAUUGUUCCCAUAUUUUUCUACAUUUUCAUUUCCAACCAGACUAUUGUCUGCAGUUUGUAUCAGUGAUCAGGAAUUCAUUAGAUCAGUUAUGAACUUCUUCUCGCCAUGCUGGUGUUUGAAUCACUGAGGUUGUGUUUACAUGCUGGGAUUUUUCCACACCUUAUAUCAAGAUUAAGAACUGUUCCCUAACAGCAAAUAACGUUUCAUGCGGGCGCUGUACAGCCCUAUUCUGCACGAUUUUCAAAAUACCUUUCUUCAGGUGAAUACAUCGAUAUAUAUCUGUAUCAUUUAUUCUGUUCGGGUAGUUUGUAAUUGUUUGUGUCCCAUCUCGGCGGCCGGUGGAAGUAAAGAUUUUUUUGAUUAUACUGAAGGUCUGGGUGCUUGAUAUACACCGGGGUGGAAAGCUAUAAAACCCAAAGAUGUAGUCGCAGAAUGAGGCUGUUUGGUCCAUUGAGUCUGCUCAGCCAGAUCAUCAUGGCUGAUUCAACGUUUUAUCUGUGGCCCAAACUCCUCCCUACUGCUCCCAUCCCGUCAGUAAAUUAGGAUUACUAAGUACUGGUACUCAGAUAGGUGGCGUUGUGGAUAAUGAAGUAGGUUUACAAAGCUUGCAGAGAGACUUAGGCCAGUUAGACGAGUG